CAGCGCCACAAGUGGGAAUCACAUUUAUUGGGCCUAAAGCGUCCGUAGCCUGUCUGAUAAAUCUCUUGUGAAAUCGUUCGGCUUAACCGAACGGCGUGCAGGAGACACUGUCAGACUAGAGACCGGGAGGGGUCGGAGGUAUUCCAGGAGGAGCGGUAAAAUGCUAUAAUCCCUGGAGGACCACCGGUGGCGAAGGCGUCCGACCAGAACGGAUCUGACGGUGAGGGACGAAAGCCAGGGGAGCAAUCCGGAUUAGAUACCCGAGUAGUCC
rnacentral:rRNA from 1 species